AAAAUUUUUGUCCAGUUUGGUGGCUGGGCACAUCAUGUUACCAAAUAUUACUAAAAAUUUGAAAGCUAAAAUUUGAAUUGUACUUCCCUUGUUCUCCAGGUGGGCUCCUGAUUGCUCAACUUGAAAUGUAUUCCCUUAUUCUCUAGGUGGGCACCUGAUUGCUAAACUUGAAAUGUAUUCCCUUAUUCUCCAAGUGGACUCCUGACUGCCACACUUGAAAUGUAUUCCCUUGUUCUCCAGGUGGGCUCCUGAUUUCAACAAAAACAGACAAAACAAAGAAUAUUUUCUACCCCAG
rnacentral:lncRNA from 1 species